GUAUCAGUUCAGGAAGUUCCAGUGGUAGAAUCUCAUUUAUCCUCUUGUGUCAGUUUGGAGUUCCCAUUUUAUAUUUUUUAUCCAAAAUAGUGUUUUUAAUGCACACGCGCACACACAUCACGAGUUUAUGGAAGUUCUUUGUGUUUGGAAAUUGUAAGAGAGCAUAUACCCAAGUACCUGUGAUGAGUUAAAUAUUGCCAAUGCCUUAUUAGAUUGUUAUCUGUGUUUGUCUUUCUCUAAUGGAUUUUACUGCUCAUUAAUCUACUUUAAUUAUGUUUAGUAUGGUGUGGCUAUCCCUUUGAAUGCUGAAUCCUUCACUUAGUGUAGAAUUCAAUAAAUUAAAAUUGAAAUGUGUUAUUAGAAAGAAAACUGAAACUAGGUUUCUCACGCGUUUUUGUGGCUCU
rnacentral:misc_RNA from 1 species